CAAUUAAUCUUAGUGAUUCAUUUAGUAUAUAAAGAUCUUCAUUCGAUCAAAUGUGAUAUCCAGUGUCCAAAGUCAAUAUGGGAAAACUCCUAGGUGUUUUGAUCCUUCUAGCCUGCCUGGUUGUCUUUUCAAACGGUUGGUUAUUUUUCAACAAGGUUGGCUGUAUUUCCGAAUGUAUGAACGUGUUACAGUGUGGUCUUGGAACUUAUUGUGACUUCAGAUAUGGUCAUAGAGGUUGUUGCAUAAGAAUGGUUGCUGGCGGUUGAUACUGUGACAGUGGAUUGGCUACAGAUCAUCAGAAAAUGACGAUGUAACCUGAUUAGAUAUUUUGUU